UCAGCCGCCGCGGUAAUACAGAGGUCCCGAGCGUUGUUCGGAUUUACUGGGCGUAAAGGGUGCGUAGGCGGUUGGGCAAGUCUGAUGUGAAAGCCCCGGGCUUAACCCGGGAACGGCAUCGGAAACUGCCUGGCUGGAGGGCUGGAGGGGGGACUGGAAUUCCCGGUGUAGCAGUGAAAUGCGUAGAGAUCGGGAGGAACGCCAGUGGCGAAGGCGAGUCCCUGGACAGUACCUGACGCUGAGGCACGAAAGCCAGGGGAGCAAACAGGAUUAGAUACCCUGGUAGUCCUGGCUGUAAACGGUGCACGUUUGCUGUGGGCGGAAUCGACCCCGUCUGUGGCGUAGCUAACGCGUUAAACGUGCCGCCUGGGGAGUACGGUCGCAAGAUUAAAACUCAAAGGAAUUGACGGGGGCCCGCACAAGU
rnacentral:rRNA from 1 species